UGGGGAAUCUUGCACAAUGGGGGAAACCCUGAUGCAGCGACGCCGCGUGAACGAUGAAGCCCUUCGGGGUGUAAAGUUCUUUCGACAGGAACGAUAAUGACGGUACCUGGAGAAGAAGCUGCGGCUAACUACGUGCCAGCAGCCGCGGUAAUACGUAGGCAGCGAGCGGUGUUCGGAGUUACUGGGCGUAAAGAGUGCGUAGGCGGCGAGCCAAGUUUGGUGUGAAAUCUCCCGGCUUAACCGGGAGGGUGCGCCGACAACUGGUUGGCUGGAGUAUGGGAGAGGAAAGCGGAAUUCCUGGUGUAGCGGUGAAAUGCGUAGAUAUCAGGAGGAACACCUGCGGUGUAGACAGCUUUCUGGACCAAAACUGACGCUGAGGCACGAAAGCGUGGGUAGCAAACA
rnacentral:rRNA from 1 species